rnacentral:rRNA from 2 species
GGUGGCAAGCGUUGUCCGGAAUUAUUGGGCGUAAAGGGCUCGCAGGCGGUUUCUUAAGUCUGAUGUGAAAGCCCCCGGCUCAACCGGGGAGGGUCAUUGGAAACUGGGGAACUUGAGUGCAGAAGAGGAGAGUGGAAUUCCACGUGUAGCGGUGAAAUGCGUAGAGAUGUGGAGGAACACCAGUGGCGAAGGCGACUCUCUGGUCUGUAACUGACGCUGAGGAGCGAAAGCGUGGGGAGCGAACAGGAUUAGAUACCCUGGUAGUCCACGCCGUAAACGAUGAGUGCUAAGUGUUAGGGG